GUAAUGCCGGAUGCUCCGACUCCUCGCAUGGGGUGUCGGGAAAGAUUUCAUCGGUAUGGGAUGGGGUCGCGUCCUAUCAGGUAGUCGGCGGGGUAACGGCCCACCGAGCCUACGACGGGUAGCCGGCCUGAGAGGGCGACCGGCCACAUUGGGACUGAGAUACGGCCCAGACUCCUACGGGAGGCAGCAGUGGGGAAUAUUGCACAAUGGGCGCAAGCCUGAUGCAGCGACGCCGCGUGCGGGAUGACGGCCUUCGGGUUGUAAACCGCUUUUGAUCGGGAGCAAGCCUUCGGGUGAGUGUACCUUUCGAAUAAGCACCGGCUAACUACGUGCCAGCAGCCGCGGUAAUACGUAGGGUGCAAGCGUUAUCCGGAAUUAUUGGGCGUAAAGGGCUCGUAGGCGGUUCGUCGCGUCCGGUGUGAAAGUCCAUCGCUUAACGGUGGAUCUGCGCCGGGUACGGGCGGGCUGGAGUGCGGUAGGGGAGACUGGAAUUCCCGGUGUAACGGUGGAAUGUGUAGAUAUCGGAAAAGAACA
rnacentral:rRNA from 1 species